rnacentral:rRNA from 1 species
GAUGAACGCUGGCGGCGUGCUUAACACAUGCAAGUCGAACGAAGCACUCUAUUUGAUUUUUUUCGGAAAUGAAGAUUUUGUGACUGAGUGGCGGACGGGUGAGUAACGCGUGGGUAACCUGCCUCAUACAGGGGGAUAACAGUUGGAAACGACUGCUAAUACCGCAUAAGCGCACGGUAUCGCAUGGUACAGUGUGAAAAACUCCGGUGGUAUGAGAUGGACCCGCGUCUGAUUAGCUAGUUGGUGGGGCAACGGCCUACCAAGGCGACGAUCAGUAGCCGACCUGAGAGGGUGACCGGCCACAUUGGGACUGAGACACGGCCCAAACUCCUACGGGAGGCAGCAGUGGGGAAUAUUGCACAAUGGGGGAAACCCUGAUGCAGCGACGCCGCGUGAACGAAGAAGUAUUUCGGUAUGUAAAGUUCUAUCAGCAGGGAAGAUAAUGACGGUACCUGACUAAGAAGCACCGGCUAAAUACGUGCCAGCCGCCCCGUAAA